rnacentral:sRNA from 1 species
AACUCGCUACUCCUGGAUAUCUCGUAACUUACUGAUAAUUAGUUUGUUAAACGAUUGCUUCAAAUACAAAAAUCUGAUGUCUGUUAACAAAGUUAUACGGUGCCUUGCGGAGACAUCAGAAAGGGAAAAGGUCUGUGCCAGAAAAUGAAUACGGACGAUACGGUGACCUGAAGUAAUGCGUGAGAAUUCUAACAAGCCUGAGCAGAGAAAACGAGAUUUUUACUGGCGACUAUGGGAAAAUCAAUGACGCCAUAAACGCUGUGGUUAUCGAGGGUAACAGAUGGAUACCAAUCUUAAAUUUUCACUACUGACAACCAUCGGCGCUUUACUGAUGAUUGUUGCAUUCAGCUUCACCGCAGUGCUGCACUGAAAA